GAUAUCAACUGAAAAAGUCAUCAACAACAAAGUUGAAUAAUUCAUCAAGAUCUAAAACUUUUAUUUUGGUCAUUUCUUCAUACGACAAAGUGAUAGUAACAUUGUUCACAAAAUUGACAUAUCUCUUAUCUGGUUUUAUAAGCUAUAACGCAUAUAUGUAAAAUUUGUGAAUAAUAUUAUAAAAAUUUCGUCGGAUGAAGAAAUAACAAAAAUAAAAGUUUUAGAUCUUGAUGAGUUAUUCAACUUUGUUGUUGAUGACUUUUUCAAUUGAAAUC
rfam:Oryza sativa Japonica Group DNA, chromosome 4, cultivar: Nipponbare, complete sequence.